AGGUUCUGAUAGUUAAGCUUUGUGAUGUUACUGUAAAAUGUUAAUAUUACUUUAUGGAUAUCACUUUUUACACUAAAAGAAAUAAAGUUCGUGUUUUAUUAUUUCGCUUUUAUUCCGAACUAAUUCACUCACACCCGGCUGGUACCUACGCGAUUUUGAU